ACGAACGCUGGCGGCAGGCUUAACACCUGCAAGUCGAGCGCAUCCUUCGGGGUGAGCGGCGGACGGGUGAGUAACGCGUGGGAACGUGCCCUCUUCUACGGAAUAGCCUCGGGAAACUGAGAGUAAUGCCGUAUACGCCCGCAAGGGGAAAGAUUUAUCGGAGGAGGAUCGGCCCGCGUUGGAUUAGGUAGUUGGUGGGGUAACGGCCUACCAAGCCGACGAUCCAUAGCUGGUUUGAGAGGAUGAUCAGCCACACUGGGACUGAGACACGGCCCAGACUCCUACGGGAGGCAGCAGUGGGGAAUCUUGGACAAUGGGGGCAACCCUGAUCCAGCCAUGCCGCGUGAUCGAUGAAGGCCUUAGGGUUGUAAAGAUCUUUCAGCUGGGAAGAUAAUGACGGUACCAGCAGAAGAAGCCCCGGCUAACUCCGUG
rnacentral:rRNA from 1 species